ACGAACGCUGGCGGCGUGCUUAACACAUGCAAGUCGAACGGAAAGGCCCUGCUUUUGUGGGGUGCUCGAGUGGCGUACGGGUGAGUAACACGUGAGUAACCUGCCCUUGACUUUGGGAUAACUUCAGGAAACUGGGGCUAAUACCGGAUAGGAGCUCCUGCUGCAUGGUGGGGGUUGGAAAGUUUCGGCGGUUGGGGAUGGACUCGCGGCUUAUCAGCUUGUUGGUGGGGUAGUGGCUUACCAAGGCUUUGACGGGUAGCCGGCCUGAGAGGGUGACCGGCCACAUUGGGACUGAGAUACGGCCCAGACUCCUACGGGAGGCAGCAGUGGGGAAUAUUGCACAAUGGGCGGAAGCCUGAUGCAGCAACGCCGCGUGCGGGAUGACGGCCUUCGGGUUGUAAACCGCUUUCGCCUGUGACGAAGCGUGAGUGACGGUAAUGGGUAAAGAAGCACCGGCUAACUACGUG
rnacentral:rRNA from 1 species